rnacentral:rRNA from 1 species
CCCUUAGAUGUUCUGGGUCGCACGCGUGCUACACUGAGUGGAUCAGCGGGUCAGGUUGCGCGAAAGUGUUUCCUAAUCUUUAAAUCCGCUCGUGAUGGGGAUUGACGGUUGCAAUUUUCCGUCAUGAACGAGGAAUACCUUGUAAGCGCGGGUCAUCAUCCCGCGCUGAAUACGUCCCUGCCCUUUGUACACACCGCCCGUCGCUCCUACCGAUUGAGUGGUCCGGUGAGGCUUUGGGAUCUGAGCGGAAAGAGCGUUUCGCUGUUUCUGCCCGGAAAACUCAGUCGAACCUUAUCAUUUAGAGGAAGGAGAAGUCGUAACA